AGAACUCAAGAUUUCUCUAUUCCACGCAAGCUCUGUUGGGUAGCCUCGAUUCCAUGGCGAGUGACACGAACCGGAAGGGAGUUUGUCAUAUCCGUAUUCUUGCAGGGCGUCGUUCUGUUGUGAACCAUGGUUCGAGUACUUAGUGGACUAUCCAGCCGGCUGGCCGAUACCCCUUGGAUAAUUUCGUCAUCUCUUCUUUUAUAAUUCUACCGCGAAUAAGAGAUACUCAGAAAUACAUAAA